CUUCUGACUAUCUCCCAACGUUCUCAAAAUUUUCUAAGCAUUCAAUCAAGUGUCCCUCAAGUUUUUGCACCAGCAAGAAAGAAAAUGAGAUUUGCAGUCCAACCAAAUUUCUUUCCUUUUCUUUUCGGUUGAGCUGUGAUGGAGUGGAGGGUGCUGAUCCAAGUGGGGCUUACUCCUAUGUCUAUACAGUACUCUCGAAGGUUCAUGUCUUCAUACAUGGAACCGCGUUCAAUUGUUUCCGUUGUGCUAUUUAAACAAGUUAAAUCUUGUUUUCCCCUAUGACUCUGAAAGUUAAUAAACAGUAUUGUAUGAACCUUUUACUCGAAUCUUUAUGAUUGAGUGUAUCCUAUUCAAGUAUUCCAUUUGAGAUACUUCGUAAUCA